rnacentral:snoRNA from 1 species
ACUGCACAUUGUUAGAGCUUGGAGUUGAGGCUGCUGGACCAUGGACUCACAAGUGUAGGUAGUGUGCUACACGAGGGGCAAGUGUUUCGCUAACACCACAAGGGUCUCUGGCCCAAUGAGUGGAGUUGGAUAGUAAUACUUGCUACAAAA